GCAAGGUUAAAACUCAAAGGAAUUGACGGGGACCCGCACAAGCGGUGGAGCAUGUGGUUUAAUUCGAUGCAGCGCGAAGAACCUUACCUGGUCUUGACAUCCUGCGAACUUUCUAGAAAUAGAUUGGUGCCUUCGGGAACGCAGUGACAGGUGCUGCAUGGCUGUCGUCAGCUCGUGUCGUGAGAUGUUGGGUUAAGUCCCGUAACGAGCGCAACCCCUAUCCUUAUUUGCCAGCACGUCAUGGUGGGAACUAUAAGGAGACUGCCGGUGAUAAACCGGAGGAAGGCGGGGACGACGUCAAGUCAUCAUGGCCCUUACGACCAGGGCUACACACGUGCUACAAUGGGAAGGACAAAGAGCCGCGAAGCCGCGAGGUGUAGCUAAUCUCAGAAACCUUUUCGUAGUCCGGAUUGGAGUCUGCAACUCGACUCCAUGAAGUCGGAAUCGCUAGUAAUCGUAGAUCAGAAUGCUACGGUGAAUACGUUCCCGGGUCUUGUACACACCGCCCGUCAUACCAUGGGAGUGGGUUGCACCAGAAGUGGCUAGUCUAACUUAGUGAGGACGGUCACCACGGUGUGAUUCAUGACUGGGGUAAAGUCGUAACAAGGUA
rnacentral:rRNA from 1 species